UUUUUUUUUUCAGGUUGUCAUUUUCUGAAGAAAAAAAAACAUAAGUUCAAGUCAGGACAAUGAAAAGUAGAUCUAGAAAAGAAAAAGAAAAUGGUAACGAAAUCAUUACCAAACAUAUAGUACUCUUUGAGAUAUACUCCUCAUGAUCAAGUUUAUAAGUCAAUAUCAAGUGAUACCACCAGUUACAUACUCCCAUGAUAACAACCUGAAAAGGUUAAAUUUAAUAAACACUACAAAAAGUUCCAUAAAAAAAUUGUGAAUGUUCAUAACACAUGUGUCUACAACUCCUAAAAAGAUCAGAACGAAAUUCAAAGUACAUAUAAAGGAAAGAAAAGGAAAAAUUCAGCAUCAACAGUGUCAAUAAAAACAAAAGCAUGGAUAGUAUUAAAAAAACUACAGUGUUCACAUCUUUUUGAGGAAAGGCCAUCAUGGCUAGCUUUAUUGAAAUCAAAUAAUAGAUACAUCGUCUACGAGCUUGCUGACCAACACGUCAGGGGGCUCGUUCAUCCAAACCAACGAGAUCUUAUUACAAUAACUAUAGUUUGCUAGCACAUGCGCUGCUUGAUUCGAUGAUCGAUAACAAUGUUUAUAGAUGACCUUCCCAAUUAAUGUAGCCGUGUCCACACACUCCGUGAAAAUUGUUGCCGCUGCGUCCCACCAUCUCGACUGACCGGUACAAAAGUUGAUGACUUGCGUAGAAUCAGACUCAGCUUCCAAUUGAUUGAACCCAAGAGAAUUAGCUAGUUUAAGACCAUCCCUCAUGACCAUAGCUUCAGUUGUGACAACAUCAGCAGCAAACGGAAUAAAUUUGCAAGUAGCCGCAAUAAAAUUACCUUUUUCAUCUCAUAUUAUCGCUGAUGUUGCUCCCAUUCCUUCAUCCUGAUAGUACGCCGCAUCUACUUUCACUUUCACAAAUUUGGGGUUGGGUUUAACCCAUUUAUAUUCCUGAGGCCUGAAGGUUUUGGUAAAUGCCUUCUCAUAAUUGCUUGCAAUGGCCAGUACAGAGAUCGGCCAUCGGACUAUCGGAGGGACAGAUUCAUUAUGUGUAAUACGCCUUCUUAUCCACCAUAAGUACCAGCAGGCGACCGCGAUUACCUGCUUAAAAUUCAGACUUGGUUCAAGGAUUUGGGGACUAUCCGGCAUUAGAAACAAAUAUUCCAAGAUCGCUGAACCGGAUCUAUCAACAACACUGGCAUGGUCAAUUAUCUCAGACAUCCUCAAGCAUCGCCACAUCUCCUUAGCAUGCAGACAAGUGAAAAGCAGGUGGCAGAGAUCCUCGGCACCUUGGUGGCAUAUCGGACAUGCUCCAUUGGUCCCUGUAUGCCUAUUCAUUAGUAUUGACUUUAGAGGGAUUAUUCCAUGCAAUACACGCCAGCAAAAGAUCUGAACUUUACGAGGAAUAUUUAAUUUCCAGAGUAUACUCCAUAUUGCCAAAGGGGUAGAGCCACUCGGGACUGAAUUAAUAUUUGUAUGUUCUCUGAAGGUAUACAUCCACUAUAUUUUAGACGCACUUCGGACAGAAAAAGUUCCAGUUUUAUUUGCAUGCCAUGCGAUAAAAUCAUCAAAAGCUUGGCGGUUUAGCGGGAUUUGUAAGAUCCUUCGCACAUCCACGAGAUUGAAGAUAUUAGUGAGCAGUUCCUCGUCCCAGAUUCCAGUAUUUGGGUCGAUGAGAUCACUAACCUGUGAUAAAACUGUUUGGCCACGGGGUGUAAUUAUUUUCCUGUCUGGGCUAGCCGGAAUCCAUGGAUCACACCAGAUGUUUACAGUCUCACCCGAUCCAAUUCUCCAGAUGUAACCCUUCUUAAAAGUUUCUAGACCUUUCAAGAUACUUUGCCAAGUGAAAGACACCCCCUGUUUCGGUGUAGCUCGUAGCAAACUCCCAUUUGGAUAAUAUUUAGCUUUCAAAACCCGAGCACAGAGGGAGUCUGGGUCUGUGAUUAAUCUCCAACAUUGUUUAGCCAACAUGGCUAAGUUAAAAGAAUAAAGGUCCCGAAAACCCAUACCACCUUCGCUCUUUGGAAAACAGAGUUUCCACCAUGAAUACCAGUGCAUCUUUCUAUUCUCUUCAUCAUCACCCCACCAGAAUUGAGCUAUUACAUCUGUGAUAUCCUUGCAAACACCCUUAGGUAAACAGAAAACUGACAUAGCAAAAACAGGGAUGGCUUGGGCCACCGCCUUAAGUAGAAUCUCUUUACCUCCAGUGGAUAACUGUUUCUCCAUCCAGCCGAUCAAUCUAGCUUUGAUUCUUUCUCGAAAGUGUUUGAAGCAAUCACUUCUGUCUGCAUCCACAAUAGCAGGUAGGCCAAGAUAUCUAUCUGAUAGUGCUUCAGUUACAAUAUGUAAAAUUUCACAAACUUCAGUUCUGGUUACCACAGGUGUAUUUGGGCUAAAGAAAAUACUUGAUUUUGAUAAGCUCACCAUCUGACCUGAACUUUGGCAAUAAGUGUCUAGUACAUGCUGUAAGGAAGUUGCAUUUAGGACAUCCGCUUCCAUGAGAAUUAGAGAAUCAUCAGCAAAUAAAAGGUGUGAGACUGAUGGUGCAUUUCUGCACACUCUAACCCCAUCAAGGCCACCAACUUCUUUUUCAAACUACAACAUACUAGAGAGACCUUCUGCACAAAUGAGGAAAAGAUAUGGGGAUAGGGGAUCCCCUUGUCUAAUGCCUCUAGAUGGAACAAACAUAUCUGUUUCUUGAGAGUUAAAACAAAUCUUAUAUCUCACAGAGCUUACACAUGCCAUAACCAUAUCAAUCCAUUGCUCAUGGAACCCAAGUUUUUCCAUCAUACUUCGAAGAAAAAUCCAUUCAACCCGAUCAUAAGCCUUAUGCAUAUCCAACUUCACAGCACAUAACCCAGUUUGUCCAGCUCUCUUAUUCUUAAUCUUAUGCACACAUUCGUAAGCGAUAAGAACAUUAUCAGUAAUAAGCCUGCCAGGCACAAAUGCACUUUGUGUAGGAGAAAUGAUUUCUGGCAAAAUACUCUUUAACCUCCCUGCAAGCAUCUUAGAUAUGAUUUUAUAUAAUACAUUGCAUAAGCUAAUUGGUCUAUAUUAAGUUAUCAUCUCCGGAUUGUCAACCUUGGGUAUAAGAACGACUGAGGUGUCAUUCCAUUCAGCUGGGAUCUGUUUUGAGUUGAUGGCUAAUAAAACCUCUUGUGUAAUCUCAUCACCCAAAACAUGCCAGAACUUCUUAAAAAAUAUUGCAUGUAGACCAUCAGGCCUGGUGCCUUUAGGUCCCCUAUACUGAACACUGCCUUUUUCACAUCAUCUGCUGUGAAUGGAGCAAGUAACAUGUUAUUCAUUUGAACUGAAACUUUAGUUUGCACCUUAUCAAUGAUCUCAUGAUUAACCUGCUGCACCUCAUUGGUAAAUAGAUUAGCAAAAUAAUUCUGUAUGUGUGAGUUGAGAUCAGCCAUACCUUCCACUAAAUCACCAUUUCCAUCUUUAAGUUUUUUAAUCAUAUUUUUCUUUCUCCUCACCGAAGCAAAGGCCUGGAAAAACCUUGUGUUUCGGUCCCCAUUCUUCAACCAAGUAGCCCUUGAUCGCUGAAGAUGAUGGAUUUCUUCUAUUUCCAGUAGGUAUUCGACCAACUCGGCUAAUUCUUUCCUCUUGAUCUCUGUUUCAUCAUUUAUAGGGCCCAUCAUAAUUUUUUCCAACUCUCUCUGCACCUUCUUUAACCUUUUCUUGGGUUUCUUAAGUACUCGUUGGUCCCAGUCAUGAAACAGGCUAUGCAUCUGACUUAACUUGCUAUGGAUAUUCUGUGCAUUAGGGUCAGCGCCCACUUUGUUCCAAGCUUCCAGUACCGUAUCACUGAAUUCUUUUUCAUGCAGCCAUCUUGCUUCGAAUCUUUUCACCCCCGCUGCUACGUUUAUGUUCUGCACAUAAAACUCUGUAUCCACUAGAAGAGGCCGAUGAUCAGAGUGAUUAUAGUAUUUAUUCUCGAGUGCUACAUGGGGGUAUAACUGUGACCAUGACUCAUUAAUGAGCCCUCUAUCCAGUCUUUCUCUAAUUCUGCCCCUCUGCCAUGUGUAACCAUCACCUACAUAUCCCAUGUCUCUGAGAUCACAGUCAUCUAUAGCCUGCUGAAAUGCUUGCAUAUAUUGUGGAGGUCGUGGGUUCCCUCCUUCCUUUUCACUUAGAUUUUGUAUUUCAUUCAGGUCUCCAAUCAACAACCAGGGGAGAUUCUGACUCUGAUGUAAUGAUCUCAUAUGGUCCCAAGUUUUAUAUUUGUUCUCCCAACGAAAUUCGCCAUACAUACCAGUCAAUCUCCAAAUACUGUUAUUACUUUCCUCUAUUGUCACAUCAAUGAACAUUGGGUCUAAGUCCAGUCUAUUUACUUUAACCUCUUUCUUCCAAAGCAAUAGCAAGCCACCUUUCCUACCGUCACUUGGACAUACAAACUUUUGAUCCAUUUUUAAUUUUCUCCUUAAACACUCUGCCGGAUAGCUGUCAAGGUGUGUCUCCGACAAAAACAUCACAUCGGGAUUGUAACUUCGCUGGACCUCCAGCAAAGCACGAACUGCCGGGGCAUUCCCGAGCCCCCGACAGUUCCACGCUAGUAGUUUCAUUGAUCCCGGCGAUCACCCUCGAGGGGCGUCGCCGAUCCUGAAUUAACUGUACUAUUUGGGUUAGUGUCCACAGCCUGACCAUCUAUUCCCCUAAGCUUCUUUCUGCUCGCGUUCUUUUGGGGUGUACCUGAUACUGAUAGUGAGAGACUUUUUUCCUCCCCAUCUAUUUCUCCUUCAAAAAGAUUUACUUUUUCCGCUACUGUUACUGAUUCUGGCUCCUUGGCAGCCUUGGUAGCUACAAACGGGAUAAGAGUUGUUUGAUCAGUUUCAGUGUUACCAGUCACGACCAGGGGAGCCCUUGAGUUACUGUCAACCGCAAUCCUUUUCCCUAAGAUGUUAUCUGAUGUUGUGGUCAUUCGCAAGUCCCGAUCUUCAGGAUCUGUGAUGGUAUCCCCUUCAUUUGAUCCUCCGGGGACUACAUCUGUAGCAUGGACAUAAUUGUGUCGCCAAAUUACAGGGCCAGACCCUUCAUUGUUCGGUUCAGUAGGGUGAUAAUAAGAAUUGUUUCCACUUCCUCGACCAUUACCACGGCCAAAACCUCGCCCGCGGGUAGUAUAAUCAUCCCCGCUUCCCUGUCGAUCACCUGUCCCACGCCCUCCACGACCGCCUCCUCUGCCUCUCCAGGGAGCUAGCAGGAAAUUUCCCCAUUCAAACUUUGAUUUAUCGUGUUCUCCCGUCCCGCAUUCUUCAUGCCAAUGUCCCAUCAAACCACAAGCAUGACAGAAGGUCGGCAGUUUCUCAAAUUUCACAAGAUACUUUUCUGUUUCUCCUCCCUUUGUAAUACCAACAGCUCUAGUCAGUUUUUUGUUUACAUCAAGUUUCACUCUAACCCUUAUAAACUCCCCGAUGAAACCAUUUGGUAGUGUUACCUGUACCUCUGUAACGCCCCGAGACUGAUGUGCCAGGUGUCCUCCAGUUAUUCGCAGUCUUUGCCAUGUCAUUUGCUUGCGUGUCGCAUCUUGUCAUGUCAUCAUGUGCAUUGCAUCAUCAUGUUUUCAAAACUUGCAUCCGUCCCGGCCUCCUCGUUCUCUCCGUUGUCCGUUCUGAGCCCAGACACACUUGCACGCGCCCGCGACAUGUCCGAAAUAGUAUUUUAUAAGUGGCUGGAAAAUGUUCUCGGUAUGGGAUGAGAGUUGACGUGUGGUCUUAUUAUGGUGUAGAUAGACCGCCUGUCAAGUUUCAUCACAUUCGAAGAUUGUUUGAUGCCCCAACGGAUAACUAUAGCGGCAGUAUAGCCGGUCUAACGUCGGACAUUUUCGGUCUCCGGAAACAGUUGCCGGGCUGCACUCCUUCCCUUUCAUCUCAGCCCAACCUCCUCUUCACAGCCCACCAAACCCCACUCCGACCGGAGCCAUCGGAUCGCGAUCGGAGGGUCCGAAAACCCCCCUAAAUCCCCUAACCCUAGCUCUUUUGCUAUAUAUGGAUACCUCCUUGUCCAUUUCAGGCAACCUAGCCUCCCCCUACCCUCAGCCGCCACCUCCCACCUCGUUUUCAGCACCGGCCGCCCCUUCUCCGCCACUUUGGCACCGUCCCUGAGGGUAGAAGCCGCCAGCGCCACCGCUCCUGGCCAUCCAUGAUGCGCCACGUCACCCCUCCAGCGCCCCCAUCCACCGCGGCCCGCUCAGGCCCGUGCGGGGCCCGCCCGAGCCCAUCCAGGGCCUGAGCGCCUCCCGCUUCCUCGCUCCCGAUCUGGUUCGAGGGGAGGAGCCCCGUGAUCCAGAACCCCGCCGCCGUCUCGAUUUGCCUCGCUUUGCCGGCCACCUGAGACGCCGCCGACGAGCACCAGCAGGCCGUUCCCGCCGCCCUGCUCCUUCCCCAUCUCCUUUCUCCCUUGCUCUUCCUCUACUCUAAGCCAUGCACUGCCGCCAUUUUUGCAGGAUCCACCGCCGAGCUCGUCGCCGGCCUCCUCAGCCUCGCCCGUCACCGUUGACCGCGUCCGGUGCCGGAUCCGAGCUCCCCACGUGCCGAUUUGCUCGUUCCCGGCCUUCCCCGCCUUGUCCCGUCGACGUCCUCGCCAGACCACCGCCGCCGCCACGCCUGUUCCCGCCUCUGCUUCGAGUAGGAGGAGCUCGCCCGUCACCGUUGACCGCGUCCGCAUGGGCUGCGUCUCCGCGGCCCAGAUCCGCCGACCCACCACCCUGCUCCCCCUUCAGCCUGUUGGCCCGAUGUGAGCAGCCCCUCCAGCGCCUCCCCUAUGCACUUCUGGGCCUGCUAGUUUCGGCCCAUGGCAUGUUUUUUUCCGUUCUACGAUUUGUCCAUUUAUCCAGAGAUAACCAGUUUUACAGGAAGCCCCCUAGACUUCAUGCAUUUAAUAACUCCACAACCAUGCAUCGGAUCUAAAUAAAUUAUAUAUGAAACUUGCUUAGAAUUUCAUCUAGUUUCAUAAUAUGCAACUUUCAUCCAUGUUUAACAUGUUUAAAAUGCUGUUUGUUUAAUUUUGCUUAAAUGACUUGCUAAAAUGCUUUAAUUCGUAACUAAAUAACCGUAACUCGGAAUCUAACAAACUUUAUAUGCAAAUGGGGUGGAAUUUUGCCUAGUUUAACAUGGUGUACUUGUUUUGCAUGUUUAAUAACUCUAAAAUUGUGUUUAGGGCAGAACAGUACCAAACCUAAUAUAAGCACAUGAGGAUUUAUCGGAAUUGUUGUUCGUUGCUUCCGGCCUCUUUUAAACUUGACUAGAUAGGUAGUUUUGUUAUGCUUCACCUCUUGCCAUGUUAACCAACAUUUAAUAUUGUUGUGUACUUAAACGGGAGAGAACUAAAUAAUUGAUGUGGUGUUUUGUCAAUAUGCAUCCCGAUGCAUAUUGAGCUCCACCUAAUUUGUAGGAUUGCUUGUGCACUUUGCCAUGCCAUGCCUCUUUAAACCGGACAUGCAUCAUACUUGUUUGCGCAUCGUGCCAUGAUUAUGUGGUGGUUGUUUACUAUGUUGUUUGCUUCUUUCCGGUGUACUUCUUCUUGGUAAUCCGGUAACGUCGCGUUUGUGAGGACCCGUUCGACUACGUCCGUUUGUCUUCUUCAUGGACUCGUUCUUCUUCCUUGCGGGAUUUCAGGCAAGAUGAUCAUACCCUCGAAAUCACUUCUAUCUUUGCUUUGCUAAAUGCUCGCUCUUUUGCUAUGCCAUGCUACGAUGCCUACCACUUGCUUUCAAGCCUCCCAAAUUGCCAUGUCAAACCUCUAACCCACCAUGUCCUAGCAAACCGUUGAUUGGCUAUGUUACCGCUUUGCUCAGCCCCUCUUAUAGCGUUGUUAGUUGCAGGUGAAGAUUGAAGUUUGUACCUUGUUGGAACAUGGAGAUGUUGUUCCUUGUUGGAACAUGUUUACUUGUUGGGAUAUCACAUUAUAUCUUAUUUAAUUAAUGUAUCUAUAUACUGGGUAAAGGGUGGAAGGCUCGGCCUUAUGCCUAGUGUUUUAUUCCACUCUUGCCGCCCUAGUUUCCGUCAUAUCGGUGUUAUGUUCCUGGAUUUUGCGUUCCUUACGCGGUUGGGUAAUAAUGGGAACCCCUUGACAGUUUGCCUUGAGUAAAGCUCUUCCAGCAAUGCCCAACAUUGGUUUUACCAUUCGCCACCUAGCCUUUUCUUUUCCCUUGGGGGUCACGCGCCCAAGGGUCAUCAUUAUUUUACCCCCCCCCCGGGCCAAUGCUCCUCUGAGUGUUGGUCCAACUGAGCGAUGUCCGGGGCUAUCAGGGGCAACUCUGGGCUGGCCUACCCGACGUCUGGCUCAUCUGAGUGUGCCCUGAGAAAGAGAUAUGUGCAGCUCCUAUCGGGUUUUGUCGGCACAUUCGGGCGGUGUUGCUGGUUUAGUUUUACCCCGUCGAAAUGUCUUAUUGUACCGGGAUACCGAGUCUGAUCGGAAUGUCUCGGGAGGAGGUAUAUUCCUUCGUUGACCGUGAGAGCUUGUGAUGGGCUAAGUUGGGACUCCCCUGCAGGGAUUUGAACUUUCGAAAGCCGUGCCCGCGGUUAUGGGCAAAUGGGAAUUUGUUAAUGUCCGGUUGUAGAUAACUUGAACCUUAACUUAAUUAAAAUGAAUCAACUGCGUGUAACCGUGAUGGUCUCUUCUCGGUGGAGUCCGGGAAGUGAACACGGUGUUGGAGUUAUGCUUGACGUAGGUUGUUCUAGGAUCACUUCUUGAUCAUACUUUUAUCGACCGUGCUUUGCCUUCUCUUCUCGCUCUCAUUUGCGUAUGUUAGCCACCAUAUAUGCUAGUCGCUUGCUGCAGCUCCACCUCAUACCUUUACCUUACCCAUAAGCUUAAAUAGUCUUGAUCGCUAGGGUGCGAGAUUGCUGAGUCCCCGUGGCUCACAGAUACUUCCAAACCAGCUUGCAGGUGCCGAUGAGACCAUGCAGAUGACGCAACCAAGCUCAGGAGGAGCUCGAUGAAGAUCUUGUCCUUUGUGUUGUUUCGUUCUAGUUGAUCAGUAGUGGAGCCCAGUUGGGGUCGAUCGGGGACCUUGUCGCAUUUGGGGUCCUUCUUUUAUUUUGGUUCCGUAGUCGGACCUUGAUUGUAUUUGGGAUGAUGUAAUGCUUUAUUCAUGUAUUGUGUGAGGUGGCGAUUGUAAGCCAACUAUGUAUCUUUUUCCUUAUGUAUUACAUGGGUUGUGUGAAGAUUACCUCAUUUGCGACAUUGCUUUCAAUGCGGUUUUGCCUUUAAGUCGUGCUUCGACACGUGGGAGAUAUAGCCGCAUCGAGGGCGUUACAAGUUGGUAUCAGAGCCUUCCCCGACCUUAGGAGCCCCAUUGCUUGAUCGUUUUUAGCAGCCGAGUUGUGUCUUGAAAAAAAUGUUUUGAGUCAUUUAGGAAUUAUAUAUCGGAGAGUUUAGGAAUUCUUUUUACUUCCCAGUCUCCUCAUCGCUCUGGUAAGGCAUCCUGACGUAGAGUUUUGACUCUUCUCUUCUCAAAUUUCACUAAAAAAUCUUUUAGGAUCACGCGGGUAUCUUGGAAUCGUUCCGAUGGUUUUGUGACGAGAACAUUGUCUUGGUGCCUCCUGUCAGGGGUUUUGUGGAAGUGUCCCGGGGAGUUGAGCUCUGAGGUGUUGUCGUCAUAAUUUUAUCGUUGCAGUUCUGGAAUACCUGAGUUUAGUACGUCGACAUCAAAAAUCUCUUUUAUGCAGUUCGUUGGUGAGAUAACCUCGACGCCACCCAGUACUGGGGCGGGAGUUCGGGAGUAUCCCAUAACUUGUAUAACGGAUGCUUUUCGAAGGUUGAGGUAGAUGAUUUCCGAAGGUUUCUUGGUUAUGUGUUGAAGGAUGGAUACAGCUGGAUGUAGGAUUUGCUAGUUUUGGGUGAGAUAUUAUGCUUCCCCUGUAUCCCCAACACCUGAUUGCAUAACCGGAAAAAUUUCGGGAGUUCAUAGGUGGGAAUUCAAGUAGCUCUUAGGAUAUCUUCCGACAGAUGUAUGAUAUGAAAUUGGGGUUCAACGUCUAGUGGUCCGCCUAUUCACGGUCGGUUUUACAGUGGUCUCGUUGUGUCUUAAAGAGUCCUUGGCUAUGCCGACUCGGGGACGCUUCGUAUGUCAUGUGCACUACCUUGUACAUGAUGGUGCUGUACGAUCGAGCCCGUGUAGGCCCCACCACAAAAACUUCGGACGAAAUCUCUAUCAUAUGUUUGUUCCGGCUUAUUCUGCAAGCCAAUCCAUUGUUUUAUUUUGAGUUGUGGUAUUCGAGUUGCUUCAAUGUCAAGUGUUGAUUCCAUACCUUUCCUAAGCGGUGUUCUCAUAUUCCUAUGGGAAUACUAAUCCUCCUUGAUGAUCGAGUGUGUCAUCUUAAUUUCUUUUCAACCGGUGUGUUUCUCUUCUAGUGGAUCCGAUCACUUCAACAUUCGCAAGAUCAAUUAUCAGUUCUUAUCAACGGUGUUUGCUUCAUCCGUUCCAAGUUGUCUUUGUUUUCCCACCCUCCCACCCUUUUUAUUCAAGGACUCAGAUUUCUUAAUCGAGUAUCCAUCUUAUUGAUGUGAAGCCUCUCUAUUCUUUUCCUUCAAUGUUCUUAUCCGGUGAUUCUCAUGAAGAUACUAACGGAACUUCUAGUUUAUCAUUCCUUGUUCUUUUAUCUUCUCCGGUGGAUUCAAUUCAAGCUUUCGAUGUUUGAUCAUAUUCUUUUCUGUAUUUCAAUGCUUUCUCAUGCCGGUGCAAUUCUUAAUCGUUCAUCUCUCGCUAUUCUAUUGUCCCGGAGUGCUCAAGAUAUCUCAAAAGGCUCGUCUUGUCUUUCAAGAUCAGUUCAACCUAUUUCGAGGUUGUUAUCUCAUUCAAGCCAUUUAAUUCAACCGGCGCAAUCUAUCUUUUAAAUCAUUCAACAGUGUUUUCUUUUGAGUGGGCCCUAACCCACAGGUCUUUUCCCAAGAUCUUACCUGAGUCUUCUAAUUUUUUCCCGGAGUUACUCACAAAUUCUUUUCGAAGUUUGAUGUAAGAAUGAUUCAUCAUCAGUCAUAUGUAUUUCGCCAAGUUCUUUCAAAUUCUUUUCAUCAUUGGCUCGACCUUUUCCAAUUUUAAUUCCGGAGUGUCUCAAUAAUUCAUGGUGGUGUCUCUCAUCGUCAUUCUCUGUAUUUGAAGACCGAAGAAGAUUUUCCUCUCAAUCUUGCUCCAUUCUCUUCAUGAUUCGUGAUUCUAGCUUGUUGCCUUUCUCUCAUAAUUGUUCAAUUGUGAGAAUUCUUUUUAUCCAUCCGAAGCAAUUCAGGAGCCUUUUCAGUUUGUUUCUCUGGAGCCCAUCAUCUCAAAUUAUUCAUGUCAGCUUUCAACUAGCAUUCACCAAAUCUCACCGGUGCAUCAUUCAAUAUUCUUUAAUCAGCGCGUGAUCUCUUCAGUUGUAUCUAAAUUCUCUUAAGCAUCUUCAUUCAUUUGCUAAUUCUUCCCGGUGUUUUCUUUAUCUUCUCGUCGUUCAUUUUUAAUUCUUACGGUGGGUCGUUCAAGAUUCUCUUCUUUCGUUUAUCAUAUCAAUUUAUUUGUUAUUUCUAUCCUACCGGUGGUUCGUCUAAUAUUUUCUCAAGUUUGCGCUAUAUCUAUCUUAAUCCUUUCUACAGAAUAAGUAGUAUGCCAAAUCCGUGGCUUAUCAUCAAUUAAAUUGGCGAAGGUUAUGCAUAAUGUAAUUCUUAUUCUUGUUUCAUCCAUAUGUUAAUCUUUUCUUCCGGAGUUUGUUCACGAUGAUUAAAUUCUUGGUUUCAAGUGCUCAUCUUUCUUUUCCUGGAGUUCCAAGCUCUCUCAAUUAUCUCGUCGCGUAGCUCCAUCUAAAUCAUUGCAAGGAUUUCACCUUGUGUUUUCGACCUCUCUUUCCUUCCGUUUGAUCAUUUCUUUUAUUACCGGAGUUCUUCAUGAAGGUUCUUUCAUGAUGGUUCAUCAAGGAUUUAUUUUCCUUUUCGAAGUGUUCAUCUACAUUCUUUUCUAAGGAGCUUAAGUUUCUUCAUCUUGCAAUCCGGAGUGCAAUUCUUUUCUUCUGUAUCAUUUGAGGUGGUAUUAUGUCAUUCUUGAUAAUUUGAGUUCAUGUUUUCUUGAUUCACAUGUUGUCAAGAAUGAGAUAUUUUAAAUCCAUCAAUCUCGUCAUUGGAGUUAUCUUGGGUUAUAUUUCACCUAAAAACUUUCCCUAAGGAUUGUUGUUAAUUAUGGUGCUUAUAAUUGACCCAAGUUCUUCUUUUAUCCUCCCGGUGAAUUAAGUUUCUCAUCUCCUUGUUUGAUAUCAAUCCAAUCUAUCGGUUCCGUUAGUGGCAGAAUUUCACCUCAUAGUUUUGAGAUGUUUUCCAUAAGCCCACUACUACCUUGCUCUUUUCGUUAUUGGUUUUUCCAACAACUCCGUUCGACCCUUCGCCUAAAGAUGUCUUUUCAAGCUCUUUUGGGGCAGAAGUUGGCAUUUUCUUCUCCAUUCUUGUAUUUCAACCUUCUAUUCUUUUUGUUCCGGAGGCAUUGUGUGUUGCUCCUUCCGUUCCAUCACCUCAUUUUGACAAGAUCAUAUUCUUUUCAUACCCACCCAUUUAACCGGAGUGUUGUGCCAUUUUGCUCAAGUUCUUUUCGCCUUAUCAAGCCUUUCAUCUCUGUUCAACCGGAGUGCUGUCUGAGAUCUUUCUUACCCCUUGUUACAUUCAUUCAAUAGUUCCGGAGGCAGUGUGUCGUGAUUUCAUCAAGCAUCUUCUCACCUUACCAAGUUCUUAUUCAAUUCCUUUUCUUUUCAAUCGGAGUGCUGCCCGAAUUUGUUCUUCCUUGUUCCUUUUCCUAACAGAGUGCUUUCAACUUCGUUCAUUCUCGUUGAUUCUUUCUUUCAAUUGUUCAACCUCUCAAGGUUCUUUGGUUUCACUCAUUGGUCAAAGAAGCAACUUAGUUUUACCUCUUCUCGUUCUAUUCUGUUGUUCCUCCAGUGCCAUUCUAGAUCUCGGGACGAGAUCCUCUCGUAGUGGUGGAGUGUUGUAACGCCCCGAGACUGAUGUGCCAGGUGUCUUCCAGUUAUUCGCAGUCGUUGACAUGUCAUUUGCUUGCGUGUCGCAUCUUGUCAUGUCAUCAUGUGCAUUGCAUCAUCAUGUUUUCAAAACUUGCAUCCGUCCCGGCCUCCUCGUUCUCUCCGUUGUCCGUUCUGAGCCCAGACACACUUGCACACGCCCGCGGCAUGUCCGAAAUAGUAUUUUAUAAGUGGCCGGAAAAUGUUCUCGGUAUGGGAUGAGAGUUGACGUGUGGUCUUAUUAUGGUGUAGAUAGACCGCCUGUCAAGUUUCAUCGCAUUCGGAGAUCGUUUGAUGCCCCAACGGAUAACUAUAGCGACAGUAUAGCCGGUCUAACGUCGGACAUUUUCGGUCUCCGGAAACAGUUGCCGGGAUGCACUUCUUCCCUCUCAUCUCAGCCCAACCUCCUCUUCACAGCCCACCAAACCCCACUCCGACCGGAGCCAUCGGAUCGCGAUCGGAGGGUCCGAAAACCCCCCUAAAUCCCCUAACCCUAGCUCUUUUGCUAUAUAUGGAUACCCCCUUGUCCAUUUCAGGCAACGUAGCCUCCCCCUACCCUCAGCCGCCACCUCCCACCUCGUUUUCAGCACCGGCCGCCCCUUCUCCGCCACUUGGCGCCGUCCCUGAGGGUAGAAGACGCCAGCGCCGCCGCUCCUGGCCAUCCAUGAUGCGCCACAUCACCCCUCCAGCGCCCCCAUCCACCGCGGCCCGCUCAGGCCCGUGCAGGGCCUGAGCGCCUCCCGCUUCCUCGCUCCCGAUCUGGUUCGAGGGGAGGAGCCCCUCGAUCCAGAACCCCGCCGUUGUCUCGAUUUGCCUCGCUUCGCCGGCCACCUGAGAUGCUGUCGACGAGCACCAGCAGGCCGUUCCCGCUGCCCUGCUCCUUCCCCAUCUCCUUUCUCCCUUGCUCUUCCUCUACUCUAAGCCAUGCGCUGCCGCCAUUUUUGCAGGAGCCACCGCCGAGCUUGUCGCCGGCCUCCUCGGCCUCGCCCGUCACCGUUGACCGCGUCCGGUGCCGGAUCCGAGCUCCCCACGCGCCGAUCUGCUCGUUCCCGGCCUUCCCCACCUUGCCCCAUCGACGUCCUCGCCAGACCACCGCCGCCGCCACGCCUGUUCCCGCCUCUGCUUCGAGUAGGAGGAGCUCGCCCGUCACCGUUGACCGCGUCCGCAUGGGCUGCGUCUCCGCGGCCCAGAUCCGCCGGCCCACCACCCUGCUCCCCCUUCGGCAUGUUGGCCCGAUGUGAGCAACCCCUCCAGCGCCUCCCCUAUGCACUUCUAGGCCUGCUAGUUUCGGCCCAUGGCAUGUUUUUUUUUUCGUUCUAAGAUUUGUCCAUUUAUCCAGAGAUAACCAGUUUUACAGGAAGCCCCCUAGACUUCAUGCAUUUAAUAACUCCACAACCAUGCAUCGGAUCUAAAUAAAUUAUAUAUGAAACUUGCUUAGAAUUUCAUCUAGUUUCAUAAUAUGCAACUUUCAUCCAUGUUUAACAUGUUUAAAAUGCUGUUUGUUUAAUUUUGCUUAAAUGACUUGCUAAAAUGCUUUAAUUCGUAACUAAAUAACCGUAACUCGGAAUCUAACAAACUUUAUAUGCAAAUGGGGUGGAAUUUUGCCUACUUUAACAUGGUGUACUUGUUUUGCAUGUUUAAUAACUCUAAAAUUGUGUUUAGGGUAGAACAGUACCAAACCUAAUAUAUGCACAUGAGGAUUUACCGGAAUUGUUGUUCGUUGCUUCCGGCCUCUUUUAAACUUGACUAGAUAGGUAGUUUUGUUAUGCUUCACCUCUUGCCAUGUUAACCAACAUUUAAUAUUGUUGUGUACUUAAACGGGAGAGAACUAAAUAAUUGAUGUGGUGUUUUGUCAAUAUGCAUCCUGAUGCAUAUUGAGCUCCACUUAAUUUGUAGGAUUGCUUGUGCACUUUGCCAUGCCAUGCCUCUUUAAACCAGACAUGCAUCAUACUUGUUUGCGCAUCGUGCCAUGAUUAUGUGGUGGUUGUUUACUAUGUUGUUUGCUUCUUUCCGGUGUACUUCUUCUCGGUAAUCCGGUAACGUCGCGUUUGUGAGGACCCGUUCGACUACGUCCGUUUGUCUUCUUCAUGGACUCAUUCUUCUUCCUUACGGGAUUUCAGGCAAGAUGAUCAUACCCUCGAAAUCACUUCUAUCUUUGCUUUGCUAGAUGCUCGCUCUUUUGCUAUGCCAUGCUACGAUGCCUACCACUUGCUUUCAAGCCUCCCAAAUUGCCAUGUCAAACUUCUAACCCACCAUGUCCUAGCAAACCGUUGAUUGGCUAUGUUACCGCUUUGCUCAACCCCUCUUAUAGCAUUGUUAGUUGCAGGUGAAGAUUGAAGUUUGUACCUUGUUGGAACAUGGAGAUGUUGUUCCUUGUUGGAACAUGUUUACUUGUUGGGAUAUCACAUUAUAUCUUAUUUAAUUAAUGCAUCUAUAUACUGGGUAAAGGGUGGAAGGCUCGGCCUUAUGCCUGGUGUUUUGUUCCACUCUUGCCGCCCUAGUUUCCGUCAUAUCGGUGUUAUGUUCCCGGAUUUUGCGUUCCUUACGCGGUUGGGUAAUAAUGGAAACCCCUUGACAGUUCGCCUUGAGUGAAGCUCUUCCAGCAAUGCCCAACAUUGGUUUUACCAUUCGCCACCUAGCCUUUUCUUUUCCCUUGGGGGUCGCGCGCCCAAGGGUCAUCAUUAUUUUACCCCCCCUCCCCGGGCCAGCGCUCCUCUGAGUGUUGGUGCAACUAAGCGAUGUCCGGGCUACCAGGGGCAACUCUGGGCUGGCCUACCCGACGUUUGGCUCAUCUGAGUGUGCCCUGAGAAAGAGAUAUGCGCAGCUCCUAUCGGGAUUUGUCGGCACAUUCGGGCGGUGUUGCUGGUUUAGUUUUACCCUGUCGAAAUGUCUUGUUGUACCGGGAUACCGAGUCUGAUCGGAAUGUCUCGGGAGGAGGUCUAUUCCUUCGUUGACCGUGAGAGCUUGUGAUGGGCUAAGUUGGGACUCCCCUGCAGGGAUUUGAAGUUUCGAAAGCCGUGCCCGCGGUUAUGGGCAGAUGGGAAUUUGUUAAUGUCCGGUUGUAGAUAACUUGAACCUUAACUUAAUUAAAAUGAAUCAACUGCGUGUGUAACCGUGAUGGUCUCUUCUCGGCGGAGUCCGGGAAGUGAACACGGUGUUGGAGUUAUGCUUGACGUAGGUUGUUCUAGGAUCACUUCUUGAUCAUGCUUUUAUCGACCGUGCUUUGCCUUCUCUUAUCGCUCUCAUUUGCGUAUGUUAGCCACCAUAUAUGCUAGUCGCUUGCUGCAGCUCCACCUCAUACCUUUACCUUACCCAUAAGCUUAAAUAGUCUUGAUCGCGAGGGUGCGAGAUUGCUGAGUCCCCGUGGCUCACAGAUACUUCCAAACCAGCUUGCAGGUGCCGAUGAGACCAUGCAGAUGACGCAACCAAGCUCAGGAGGAGCUCGAUGAAGAUCUUGUCCUUUGUGUUGUUUCGUUCUAGUUGAUCAGUAGUGGAGCCCAGUUGGGGUCGAUCGGGGACCUUGUCGCAUUUGGGGUCCUUCUUUUAUUUUGGUUUCGUAGUCGGACCUUGAUUGUAUUUGGGAUGAUGUAAUUCUUUAUUCAUGUAUUGUGUGAAGUGGCGAUUGUAAGCCAACUAUGUAUCUUUUUCCUUAUGCAUUACAUGGGUUGUGUGAAGAUUACCUCACUUGCGACAUUGCUUUUAAUGCGGUUAUGCCUCUAAGUCGUGCUUCGACACGUGGGAGAUAUAGCCGCAUCGAGGGCGUUACAACCUCCUCCACCAUACCAAUACGGCUUGCAAGGUUCUGUAAAGCACUCUUGCUUUUGAGCACUCCAUCCGGCAACUUAUGAAUUUGACACCAUAUCUUCAAUCUGUCCAGCUUGAUUUUUUCAGGGUUUGAAAACCCAUCAUACUCCGCCAUGAUUAGAGCAAAUCCAUGGAAGUCCCAGGGCCCUUGGUGCAUGGCCUUGUUCCAAUCGCCAAGACAAUUGAAUUGAAUCGAGAACAGGUUCGCAUUGAUUCUUCUCCAUACAACGGCCUGGGCAGGGUUCCACGCCGCUUUCAUAUCCCCUAUCAAUGCACUCUGACUGAAACUCUUCCCUGUCAAGAGCCGGCCAAGUGCCAACCACUUCGGUUUAAUCUCAUCAAUAUCGAUCUCAUCUUCCCAAACUAGGUCAUCCGCCUCAUCAUCCUCUAGAUUCAACCUCUCCAAGAUUUUGCUGGUAUCCUCCAUCUGCUGACUACCUGAUCCGCUGCUAUUUCCAUCAGUCGCCAUGCCGAUUCCUCCAAACCUUAGAUCACAGGCGAUUGCUUCACCAGCCACUGCCGCAUGCACAACAAGAGGUAGGGGAAGGUCGCGUGUGGGGGAUUUGUCGGGGAAACAAUGGUAACUCACGGCGGCUACGCCGUAGCCGUCGGAGGACUGGAGAACCCUAGGGACGAAACCUAGGGGGAAAAAACUUCCUAAUGGGGACUGAACAUGUCUUGUCCCAUACACUGUUCACAUCUUGAUUUGUCUUUUUUGUUUCUUGAUGUGUACUUUGAAUUUGGAUCUGAAAUAUUUAUUAAAAAACUACACUGUUCACAUUUACAAAAAAAAUGAUUUUCUGUACCGUUUGAAAUUGAUUGUUCUUUUUUCAAAUUGGGGCCAUGGGAGCAUAUUAGUGAAAGACCUUGACCAUUAAUUGAUUAACAAAAUAUGAUGUACAUGCAUAUAAUUUAGAUCACUAUUUUAGUGACCAAAUCCCUCUCAUAUUUCUUUACAGAGGGAAUACAUCAUAGAAGCUUCUCUUGAAUGGUGAAUCCAAUAACUUUUUUUCCGAACAUGUAACUAACGUCUUCGGCUCGCUUCAGUGUUUGUAGUCGUCGAUAGGUGGUCUACGGAUCUGGAUGUAAUUUUUAUUAUUUCGAGUGUUCAUUGUACUACCAUGAUUGAAGAUGAGUAGAUUGAAAGUUUUUUCCGCAGAAAAAAACUAAUAUUUUGUUGAUCAAAUUACGGAUGAGAAUCCGGAGUAGCUCGUGCUGCUUAGAGAUUUCUUCUAUAAAUAUAUGCUUUCAAGGGCUAGUCCCCUUGUUUUUUCUGAUUGAAAUACAUGCGAGACUUGUAAAUCUGAACCGACCGGAGGGAGUAUGGGAGUAUACAUGUCGUCUAUUUCCAACUCAAUAAAAAAACAUGCUGGCUAUUUAUUUAUUUUGGAAAAUUUCUAAUCUAUUUAUCGUACAAUGAAUACUAAAAAAAUUACAUUCAGAUCCAUAGACCACAUAGUGACGACUACAAGCACUGAGGCGAGUCGAAGGCGCGCCGCCCUCAUCGCUCCUCCAUCGUCGGAGUCGGGCCCAACUUGUUGUAGUAGACAGUCAGAAAGUCGUCGUGCUAAGCCCUGUAGGACCAACGCACCAGAAUAGCAACCGCCGCAGAUGAAAAAUACCGUAGAUCAGAAGGAUCCAACACGAAGACACACAAACGUAGACGAACAACGACAAGAUCCGAGCAAAUCCACCAAUGAUAGAUCCACCGGAGACACACCUUCACACGCCCACCAACGGUGCUAGACGCAUCGCCGGAACGAAGGCUAAACGGGAAGACCUUUAUUCCAUCUUCAAGAAGCCGCCGCCGUCUUGUCUUUCUGAGCAGGACACAAACCCUAACAAAACUAGAAGAAAUCACUAAAAACGAAGCCCUCCUAAUGACCCUUGCCGAGAUCCACCGUGCCCCAUGAUCCUAGGGCCACCGGAGAGGAGGCGGAUUGCAGCAGCACCGGCAGGAGGCAGGAAGCCAGAAACCCUAGCUUUUUUGUGGAGGAGGUGGCGGCUAGAGAUCUAAGCGGAAGUGCACCUGUUGCCUCUGUUUCUUGAUCCUGCACUAACAUGCCGGCUAUUUACCACAUUCCCUGUUAAUAGUCAAUUUAAACUAAGUGGCUACGUCAGCCUGAGAUACAUACAUGCACAAAGCGUGAGCGUGUGUUCGGCAACAUACGCAGCAAACUUAGCAGGCUCAAAAAAUACAAACUGCUCGCCAAGGAGCAGGAAACCUUCUACAAAUUCAAGCCCUGUUUGGAUUAUCAUUUUACUUUGAAAUACCCCUGUAAAAAAUGCAUGCCUUGCCUCGUCAUUCUGUUUCCAGCUCAAAAUUACUCAGUGGCCGGUAUGAUACAGGCGUAAGUUAAACACCUCCGUUUGAUUACACCGUUGACCGUUCCCAAGCGCGCCCUCAGGCUCCACUUGGAACUGUUGUAAUUUUAUACAACUGCAUUUAGCUCACAGGUGUAUAACAGCAGCCACAACUGAUAUCCUAGGUGUGUACCAUAAAUCGGCUGAUUACGAGCCUAAACGAGGAUACAAGCGUAAACAUUACAGGCCUAAUACAAUGAACCAACCACCUCGGCGUUUUCUAACCAGCCAAUGUUUUAAGGAGGGAAAACGAUAUUCCAAGCGGGCUCUCCGUAGCAGCGGAAAACAAGCCACGCGACGGCCAGUCACUUGAACAAUUGUCAAAACGUCACCCUAGAUCCUGCGAUAUUCCCGUGAAGUCAAGGAGUUGCCGAUAAAAUCCUCAUGAGCGUCAAUGGAUGUUUCUUCCUUUUACGCAAUGAAACUUCUCAGCACCGCUUCAAUUUGCUUCUGUGAAAACAUGAGAUAUCCUUUAUAUAUUAGAUCAAAUAUAAACAAAAGAGCGGUAAAUAGGGGCAGUUGCAGUCAUGUACAAGUACAAGAUGUGAGUCCAGAAUGUUUGGAACUAACAACCACACAUUCGGGCUUUAUACUACUGGCUAACCACUUGGCCUUGCAAUAAACCACCAUGUAAAUAGAAAAGAAUGCUGCAGUGGACUGCACAAUCCUUUACCUUUGGACCUUAUACUAGUCAGAUCUGCAAGAUGCCGCAUUGUUGGCCUCCCGUGCGGGCAAUUCCAAGGGGACCUUAGUCCUGUUAGAUUUUUCAGUAUCUGAAGUGCAAAAGCAAACAUUAAUUCAUCGUUUGAAGCAUUACAUCUUUCUGGAUAGUGAGUGGCUGCACAAAUGGACUAAAGCAAGCAUUGGAUUAUGCUUCUGAAAAUACCCAAGUCACAUAAAAACUAAACUAAUACGUGUAUUUUUGAGGAAGGAUCUAUCUAGGUCACCGCAGCCGAAUUUUUGUAAUUACCUUCUUCAUUUCAGUUUUCGUCAGUGGAUCGCCAAUCAUAGUAGACAUUCGGCAAGCCCUCGAAGCAAACAUAGCACGAACCCUCGAAGGGCAAACAGAAUCAGUUUUAUCCAUCUUAUAGCUACUAAUUAUUGAACAGUCACCUUGACUGUCAGAAAGCAUGCAAAUCAGCUCCUUCACAUCUAAAUCAAGAGAAAUGAAAGUAAGUCUACAGUUUUGAGUUUUUUACGAGCGUAAAAUCAGACAUGGUACAACAAUAAGUGAUUACCUUGAACACCAAAUGUAAUAUUUUUACUAAAUGGCACAGCUUUCAAAAGAUAAUGACUGCCAGGAGAAGCAUGCAAAUCUUCUGCUAAAACAAAACCAUUUUUUCUGAAACAAGGUGACAGAAGAAUGUGAGCUACCUAGGAUUUAAUCACCUCCAAACACUAUUAAUUCAAACUAGAAAGAUACAGCGUGUCUACAGGAGGGAUGAAGGACCAUGCGUGAUUCAAGAAUCAAGAUGGUAUGCACUUAUCGAAAAUAAAUACACCUAGCUGGUGCAAUUAAUAAUUUAUCAUGCAUGAAUUGAUAUUUUCAAGAACCAGAUAUAAGCAGAAAACUUUUUUUUUCGAGAAAACGCAAAAAGGCUUUUGCGUUUCAUUAUAUUGAAAAGAGAGAGAUAGUUUGUUACAUCCUCCUAGGAGGCACCAUUACAGGUGAGAAACACAAAGUAACUUCAGUGGACAUCCCAGGUCUGUGGGAGGAUGACACGCAGGCCUCGAGCACCCGCGGUCGCCCAGAGCGCAGCUUCUUCUUUGAUCUUUGCAACCAAGACGCUAGUCGAAGGGGUGGCCGCAUUGAAGACACAAUCGUUGCGAUGCUUCCAGGUCAUCCAAGGGAUCAGCAGCGUCGCGGAUGUAAGUCCUUUGCGCAUCAGCUUGGGCGUGGUCUGCCGCGCCGUGUGCCACCAGGUCGACAGGGAGUUUUCACCAUUAGGCGCGCUGCAAGGAAGGUGCAGCCAAGACAGGAUGUCGUGCCAAAUCUGCUUGGUGAAGGGGCAGUCCAUGAUCAGGUGGUUCAUCGAUUCCGGCAUCUGAUCACAUAGCGGGCAGCGAGGAGGGUGCGGCAGUCCGCGGCGAGCGAGACGAUCAGCUGUCCAACAGCAUCCCAAGCUAGCGAGCCAGUGGAAGAACUUCACUCGCGGGGGGGCCCAGCCUUUCCAGUUAAGUUUCCAUGCCGGGCAGGAAGUAGAGCCAUGGAAGGUGGCGAGGUACGCGGACUGGGCGGUGUAUGUGCCAGCAGCAUUCCACUUCCAAUGGAGCUGGUCUGGAUCAGCAGAGAGAGUGAUAUUCUCAAUGGCCCUCCAGGUUAGCAAGUAUUGGCCAAUCUCUUGAAUGCCAAGGGCGCCAUGAAUGUCUGAAGCCCAUGUGUGCGCCUGAAGGCCAUCGGCCACUGUUCUUAUUUUGCGGCGGCGCUUGGGGAUGAGGGCGUAUAGCUGGGGGGCGAUCUCAGAGAUGGCUUGCCCGUUGAUCCAUCGGUCUUCCCAGAACAAUGCUCGCCGACCAUCGCCAAGGACCAUGGAGGUGGACGCAAAGAAGAAUGCACGUUCCUCACUGGAGAACUGCAGAUCGAGGCCAGCCCAAGCCCUGUUUCCGUCCAUGCGCGCGAACUAGAGCCAUCUGGUGCGCAAGGCAAGGCCCGUGCGCUCCAGGUCAUGGAUGCCGAGGCCGCCUAGGCGUGUAGGGCGGCAGACGCGGCGCCAGUUCACGUGGCAGUUGCCGCCUUGAGCCUCGGUGCGGCCAGCCCAGAGGAAGCCUCUCUGGAUCUUCUCUAGGAGUUUGAGGACUUUCUUCGGCGGCGCGAGCACAAGGAGUUGAUGCAGGGGAAUUGCACAGAGCACGGAUUUGACAAAAGCGAGGCGUCCAGCCUUGUUCAUGAGGUGCGCCUUCCAAGUGGGCAGCUUCCCGGCAGUCUUGUCGACGACGGGUUGUAGUUGGGCGGCAGUCGGGCGUCGCAAGGUGAGGGGGAUACCCAGAUAGGUGAUGGGGAACUGCGCGAUGGGGCAUCCCAGCGUCGCGAUGGCCGGAGCGACCUCCUCGUCUGCGCAACGAAUCAUCGUGGCCGUGCUCUUCUGGAAGUUUACCCGCAGGCCUGAAGCUCUGCCAAAAAGCUGCAGGAUCUCUCUGACCGCCAACGUGUCGCUAGGCGAGGGGUGGCAGAAGAGGAUGACGUCGUCGGCAUAAAGCGAGAUGAUGGGGAUCGCACGACGGGGGUGCAGCUGUUGCAGGAUGUUGAGCUCGGCAGCCUGGCGAAACAAGCGCCCCAACGUGUCGACAGCAAGCACAAAGAGCUGCGGUGACACCGGGUCGCCCUGGCGGAGUCCACAUCGAUGCCAGAUCGCCGGGCCAGGCGCGCCAUUUAGGAGGACCCGGGUGCUGGCCGACGAGAGCAGGAUGGCGAUCCAGCCGAGGAAGCGAUCACCGAACCCAUAUCGACGCAAGGCCUCGAAGAGGAAGGGCCAUGAGACGGAGUCGAAGGCGCGGGUGAGAUCAAGCUUGAGGAGGAUGCGCGGAGUUCCCAGCUGGUGGAGGAGGCGCGCCGACUGUCGCACGAUCAAGAAGUUGUCGUGGAGGCUGCGUCCGGGGAUGAAGGCGUUCUGGAUGGGACUGAUCAAGUCAUUCAGCUUGGGCGCGAGGCGGAGAGAUAACACCUUCGCGAAGAUCUUGGCGACGAGGUGGAUGAGGUUGAUGGGCCUGUAGUCAAACAGGCUGGCAGCGUCGGCGCGCUUUGGGAUGAGCGUGAGCAGUGCCUGGUUCAGACAACUGAAACCUCGUCCACGGAGCGAAUGAAGCUGCUGGAAGGCGCAGACAAAGUCGUGCUUGACGACGGGCCAGCAGGAUCGAAGGAACUCCGCGGUAAAGCCGUCAGGGCCGGGCGCCUUGCGCGCCGGCAGGCGUUUGAUGGCUUGCCAAAUCUCAUCUUCAGUGAAUGGGGCCUCCAGGUCGUCGAGGGCGGCCGGCUCGAUGAGAUGCUGCAGGUCAAGGGCGCAAUCUCGAGGUCGAUCGGUCCCGAGCAGAGAAUCGUAAUGCGCGAAGGCCGCCGCGGCCAUGUCAGUCUGGUCGGUGAGCAUGGCACCGUCAACCGACAGGGAGUGGAUCCUGUUCUUCUGCUUGCGAUAGGUGCACUGGCGAUGGAAGAAGGAUGUGUUGGCGUCGCCGUCUUUGAGAGAAGAGAUGCGCGCGCGCUGUCGAGCCAGAGUUCGCUCGAGCGAAGCGAGGCCAAGGUAUGACAGCUUGAUCUGUCGGCGGAGCCAGUCCUCGUGGGGCAUGAGCUGGCGAAGCUCCUGGGCCGAGUCAAGACGCAGGAGCAGCUCGCGCGAGAUCGCGAGCUGGUCGCGGAUGUUGCCCACGGCGCGAGCGCUCCAGCUCGUGAGUCUGCGUGCGGUGGCCUUCAUGCGCCACAUUAUGCGGCGGAACGGGCUCGGGUCGUCCACCGAAAUCCAAGCAGCCGCAACCACGUCUUGGAAGCCGGCAAUGCGCGUCCAGUAUUCCUCGAAUUGGAAGCGCCGGUGCACCGGGGGCGAGGGCGAGCAGUCCAGCAUGAGCGGGCUGUGAUCAAAUACAACCGAGGCAAGGCAGCGAAGGUGGCACUUGCCGUGUCGCUCCUCCCAAUCCGCGGUGCAUAGUACUCGGUCGAGGUGAACCAGCGUGGGCGGGGUCUGCUCAUUUGACCAUGUGUAUCGUCGACCAUUGAGGUAAACCUCCUUAAGCGCGAGGUCGUUGAUAACACGACGGAAGCGCCCCAUCAUGCGUCUGUUAGUAUUCCCGUUGUUCUUGUCUUCGUCGCGGUAGAUCAAGUUGAAGUCUCCGCAAAGCAUCCAAGGGUCGUCGCAAUUAGCACGGACGUCGCGGAUUUCCUGAAGAAACGCGAUCUUCUCCUGGUCCUGCUGCGGCCCAUAUACAAUGGUCAGCCACCAGGGGGCGUCAACGCUCGAUGGAGUCGAAACCUGGGUAGUGAGCGUGUUGGGGCUGAACAUGUGAUUGUCAACAAUCACCAUCCUGCUCUUCCAGGCCAGCAGGAUACCGCCGCGAGUGCCAAUCGCCGGCAGGUAAACAUAGUCAUCAAAGUCCGAACCAAGCGUUUCGAGGACAGUGGACAUGUGGAUGACUCCAUCUUGGUUUCCUGGAAGCAGAAGAUCGACACGUCGGUAGACACGAUCAGCGAGCGAAUGGCGGUGCGCCUAGCGCGGGUGUUUAGUCCGCGCACAUUCCAGACAAUAAUCUUCAGGCCAUAAUCCAUAAAAGCAUGAUCGACACAGGGGGCACAAGCGCACAGCUAGGCCUCGAUCGGCCUGCCAGCGAUGACCGUAGUAACCGGUGCGACAGAGGGGUCGGCGGGAAGCUCGCGCCCAACUAGUGCCGCAAUGGCCGCAAGGACAGUCUUGGGGAUCGGCGCGGCAAAGAUGUCAUCAUAAGCUUUCAUGGCCUCCGAGGUGAUCGCCUGAUCCACGUCAACGAUGCCGAGCGUGCGCAGUAUUUGCACCUGCGUGCGGCGUGCGGCAGUGGGCGGUGCCCCGGUCUUCGUCUUGGCCGCGGUGGCUAAGCGCCCGCGCCGAGGUUGGGCGAAGCUCAGCGGCUGUCUUCUCGGUUUACGGCCCGGAGCAGGGAGGACCGAGCUGAGCUGCCUGGUGGCCGCGGCGAGAAAGUCGCCAAGGGUCCAAGAGCUUGUCGAGGGGGCACGCGGGCGGCUGCGGCGGAGCGUGACAGGGGGGACGCGAAGCGUGUCGCACUUCCGAUGGUCGGCGUUGGCGUCUGGACUACAUCUUCAUCCAAUGGGCCGUCAGCGAGAGGGCCGGAGGGCGGUGGCCUGGGGAGUCCAGGUUUUGGGGCCUUUGAAGGAUCUGCAGUUGUGUGUGGGCCGCUCCAGGGCUUGCAGGCUGGCCAUCAGGCGCAUCAGCAGUCGGAGCAAUCAGCUGGCCAUGGGUUGGCGGCUGGGCGGCACCAGGUUGGAAAUCACGCGCGUCUGCCCGCGUGGAUAGAUCAGCAUGUGGUGCGGCGGCGGUAGGCGCUGAUGUGCACGAACUGACACCUUGUCCCGACAAAGGGUCAUCAUCCACUGUGUCGACGGGCGGCGCCAUUGGUUGGGGGUCCAGGACCGCGCUGCAGGUGUGCUCAACAACAGUCGUCGUGCCCACCAGGUCGCUAGGCNNNNNNNNNNNNNNNNNNNNNNNNNNNNNNNNNNNNNNNNNNNNNNNNNNNNNNNNNNNNNNNNNNNNNNNNNNNNNNNNNNNNNNNNNNNNNNNNNNNNNNNNNNNNNNNNNNNNNNNNNNNNNNNNNNNNNNNNNNNNNNNNNNNNNNNNNNNNNNNNNNNNNNNNNNNNNNNNNNNNNNNNNNNNNNNNNNNNNNNNNNNNNNNNNNNNNNNNNNNNNNNNNNNNNNNNNNNNNNNNNNNNNNNNNNNNNNNNNNNNNNNNNNNNNNNNNNNNNNNNNNNNNNNNNNNNNNNNNNNNNNNNNNNNNNNNNNNNNNNNNNNNNNNNNNNNNNNNNNNNNNNNNNNNNNNNNNNNNCGAUCUUGUCGGGGGAGUUGGCACCCGUGGUUGGGGGCCAGCAGGGGAAGCGACAUGCACAGAUGGGGCAGCGACAUGCGUGUCCCCCUGCUGAGGCGAUCUUGUCGGGGGAGUUGGCACCAGUGGUUGGGGGCCAGCAGGGGAAGCGACAUGCACGGACUCCCGCUGAGGCGAUCCUGUCGGCCUGGGAUCUGCUGCCGCCGCAGCCUUGGCGAGCGCAGUCUCCUUUCUUUCAUGCUUUUUCUUUCCUCCCCUCUUUCCUCUUUUAGCUUUGUGACGAGAGGGGUGGCCCUGGGUGCAGGCGGUGGGCCAGGCGUCCAUACAUCGGGCCGGCGACGGUACGGGAGGUGGCGUGUCUGCGCGCACGGCGGUGCAGACUCCGGACCAGCGAUCGGCGACGGCGAGGCCGUCAGCGCGGUGCUGGCCACGGAGGUGCGUCCAGCCGGCAGUGUCGACAGCCAUGCCGUCGGCACGUCCCUCCUGAGCAGCGGCAGUGCGGCGGCGCUUGCGGCCGCGGCGACGCGAACAGCCGCGUCCGGGGCCCUAGCCGGCAUCAACAUCGCCAUCAGCCGCCGCGCGCCCGUCACCCGCGCCAUCUGGGCGAGCUGCAUGACUGGAGGGGGCGCGAGCUCGGUCGACGUCGGAUCGGGCAAGGGCGAUGGCGAUGGGGUACAUGAGGGUGGUGACUGUGGGGGCGGAGGAGGCGGUGCGUCCCGGAGUGACCUCGACGAUUUCCAGCGUCGCAGCGCGGCGGAUGUCGGCAGGGUCGUGCGCGCGACCAGAGAGGCGGAACGUGGCCAGGUCGGCGCGGGAGCGCGUCUGCGGAUGGAGGCGCUCAAUCCAGACACCGGUCCCGAGGAUGUGCUCCGCCGUCGCUAAGUGCCAGGCAUGGGCGGGGAUGCCGCGGAGCUCGAGCUCGACGCGGUAUUCGAACCCACCGGAGCCGGCGUGGGCAAGUUUGCACCAUGGGCGAAGCGACAGUGAGAAGCGCGAGCAGCGGAUGUAGUGGUCGCCGUUCAUGCGGUCCUUGGAGGCGCGGGAGCCGAUGAUGAUCAGGAAAUCUUCCGGCUUGUGGAGGUGGGUGGUGAAGUCGCCUUCUUCAAAGCCGAACGUGGAGUAGAGGAGCUCAGCGACGUCGUCGGCGGACACCUGGGGACGAGUCCCAGUGAUGGUGGCCACCAUCGCCCGGCUGAGCACCUCCUCCGCUUCCUCCAUCUCAACGGUGCGCGACAUGAUGAUACGCGCUGGUGCAGCAGCGUUCACGUGCGCGACCGGAGCUGGGGCCGGUGGUUGGGGGGCGACCUGCACAACCGGAGCAGGAGCCGGUGUUUGGGGCGCGGCAGUCCGCAGGGCGGCGGGGGGGUCGCGGCCGGCGUGGUGCUCAGCAGCCCUUGGGGCGGCGGGUGGAACGCGCCCAGCGCGGCGGUGGAAGUCGUCACAUCCACGGGAGUCGUGGCCGGAGAUGAGGCACCGCCGGCAGCGAAUGUCAUUGGUGCAGUCGCGGACGCGGUGGCGGGGGUCGAGGCAGCGAAAACAGAGCCCGGCAAGCUCUUCGGGGGACGGGUGUGCUGGCGCCGCGGCGACGGGCUCUGCGCAGGCUCGCGGCGAGGCCGACGUCGAUUCCUGCGACGCGGUUGCUGGUAGCCGUCGGCGUCCACNNNNNNNNNNNNNNNNNNNNNNNNNNNNNNNNNNNNNNNNNNNNNNNNNNNNNNNNNNNNNNNNNNNNNNNNNNNNNNNNNNNNNNNNNNNNNNNNNNNNNNNNNNNNNNNNNNNNNNNNNNNNNNNNNNNNNNNNNNNNNNNNNNNNNNNNNNNNNNNNNNNNNNNNNNNNNNNNNNNNNNNNNNNNNNNNNNNNNNNNNNNNNNNNNNNNNNNNNNNNNNNNNNNNNNNNNNNNNNNNNNNNNNNNNNNNNNNNNNNNNNNNNNNNNNNNNNNNNNNNNNNNNNNNNNNNNNNNNNNNNNNNNNNNNNNNNNNNNNNNNNNNNNNNNNNNNNNNNNNNNNNNNNNNNNNNNNNNNNNNNNNNNNNNNNNNNNNNNNNNNNNNNNNNNNNNNNNNNNNNNNNNNNNNNNNNNNNNNNNNNNNNNNNNNNNNNNNNNNNNNNNNNNNNNNNNNNNNNNNNNNNNNNNNNNNNNNNNNNNNNNNNNNNNNNNNNNNNNNNNNNNNNNNNNNNNNNNNNNNNNNNNNNNNNNNNNNNNNNNNNNNNNNNNNNNNNNNNNNNNNNNNNNNNNNNNNNNNNNNNNNNNNNNNNNNNNNNNNNNNNNNNNNNNNNNNNNNNNNNNNNNNNNNNNNNNNNNNNNNNNNNNNNNNNNNNNNNNNNNNNNNNNNNNNNNNNNNNNNNNNNNNNNNNNNNNNNNNNNNNNNNNNNNNNNNNNNNNNNNNNNNNNNNNNNNNNNNNNNNNNNNNNNNNNNNNNNNNNNNNNNNNNNNNNNNNNNNNNNGGCGGGGCUGGUGGAGAGGGGAGCUAGGGGAGCGGGAGGGGCGCUAGGAGCGGAGCCAUCACGCUAUAAGCAGAAAACUUCCCCUUGAAGAACAAAACAACAACAGAUGUAUGGAUAUCAUAGGUUAUGUGUUACUCCCUCCGGUUAAGUAUUAGCUGUCUAGGUAAAGUCAAACAAAAAUAUUUGGAUCAGAUAAUUGAAAGCACAUGUAUAUAUUAGUCUCGGCAAGUGCUUUCGCAGAAUGUAUUUUUACUAUGGAUGUCCGGAAAUCUGUUUCAUGUAGCUUGGCAAGGAAAUUUUGAAUCAUGGAUACCACUUUUAACGGGUUUCAUAACAAUGGUCUUGAUAGAAAUAAUAGUCAAAUUUGUAGUUUGAAGACCAUGCCCAUGUCCAAAACAACAGCUUUUGGGGAAGAAACAGUACUUCACAUGUUCUUUGAAGAACCAUAUACUGAAUUUAACUAUAACCAAACAUCUGUCAAACAGGCAACUGAUGGUUACUGCAUUAAAGACUACACAUUUCAAUAUUAAAGUUGUUAGAUACUUAGAUCCACGUUUUGAGCAGUCAGAACCGAAGUAGUAGGACAAAAGGAAAUGUACCUGAUAGUGUUCAUGUGCAUAGAUACGAUAACUUCUUCCUCCGGUGAAAGUUCAAGUCUCAGUGGCCUAGCGUUAGAACACAAUCAGAAACCCUCCUCCAAUGCAAGAGAAAAAAAAUGCUACGGAAGGUAUGGAUAAACGUGGACAUUGUAAAGUCAUUCCUUGAACUACCCUACCAUAACCAUUCAGGCCUCCUUUGGUUCAUAGGAUUGGAAAAUCAUAGGAAUAGGAAAGUCAUAGGAAAUGAGAUGACAUGCAUCUCAAAUCCUAUGCAUAGGAAUAGAAAAAGAGAUGCCCUUUGAUUCACACCAUAGGAUUUUUUCCAUUGAGUCUAGGCUAAUGUUUGUUUUCCUAUGAAAUGUGGAGGAUAGGAAGAAUUCCUCCAUAGGAAUAGGAUUUCAUUCCUACAAACCAAAGAGCUCUGAAGGAAUUUUUCCUAUAGAAAUCCUAUCCUAUGAAAAUCCUAUAAAAUUCCUCCAAACCAAAGGAGGCCUCACUUGUUGAUGUUAUUUUUGCCAAGGCAAGUACCCCCUUGGGGGACCAAUUUCCUUUGGUUUGGAGGAAUUUUGUAGGAUUUUCAUAGGAUAGGAUUUUUAUAGGAAAAAUUCCUUCAGAGCUCUUUGGUUUGUAGGAAUGAAAUCCUAUUCCUAUGGAGGAAUUCUUCCUAUCCUUCACAUUUCAUAGGAAAAUAAACAUUAGCCUAGACUCAAUGGAAAAAAUCCUAUGGUGUGAAUCAAAGGGCAUCUCCUUUUCUAUUCCUAUGAAUAGGAUUUGAGAUGCAUGUCAUCUCAUUUCCUAUGACUUUCCUAUUCCUAUGAUUUUUUAAUCCUAUGAACCAAAGGAGGCCUUGGUGUUGAGAAGUUCCAUGUACAGAAUAACACAUGAAAAUAAUGGGGCUUGUUUACUCACUGAAGAAGAGGCUGUAUGUUUAACGUUGUUGACUGUGACAGGCUCUCAAAGUUGUACUUCUCAUCAGCAGCAUGCUUGAGAACAUAAAAAAAAACCGAUAUGAGGUACCUUGCGGGGUGCUACUCAUAUAUCUUGGGAUUUGUAUAAUGGUGUCACUGUUACACUGAAAAAUAUGUAGAUGUACCUGAUCUACAAUAAAUAGGUCUUGUUCCAGCUUUCCGAUGAUAAAACCGAGAUUAAACUGCCCAACAACCUGAAGAUGAGAUAGUUAGUAUCCUAAGAAAUAACUGCAUAUAACACAAUGCUUUGAAUAUUGCCACUUGUUUUACAAGAACGAUGACUGUCACAUUCGAGCAAAUAAACAACAAGGCCAUAACAACAGAUUUCUUGAAAGUAAAGUCCACAUCUGCAAGGUGCUUGUAAAAUUGUAACAGCAACAUGACCCUAUGGUACUUGGCAGUUGCCUUGAACAGGAACAUACUACAAUUCCAAUAGAUCAAGUUCUCUCUCGAUACAACUCCAAUAAAUCAAGUUCUCUCUGGAUACUACAAUUCCAACAUCUGCAAGGUGCUUGUAAAAUUGGAACAGCAACAUGACCCUAUGGUACUCAGCAUACUACAAUUCCAAUAGAUCAAGUUCUCUCUGGAUACAACGUAUGGCAAAUUCUAUGUAUGGCCACUCCAAAAGCACCGAUUGGACAUAAUAUCCAAUUUCACAAAUCAUGAUUGCUAACAUCCAUUAUGGCUCCUCCCAAUUACUGAGUGCAUCAGAACUGUUUUAACAUGUCAUUUCAGAAAAGAAAAACUAAUCUUGCAAGGAAACUAGGCACAGUCAUCACCGUUCACCUAAGACUCAUUCAUCAGGCAAAUGGUUUAACAAAUAUAAUGUUAUAUGGAACCACUGAAAGAAAAUGAGAAUAUUAAGAACAUGGAGCUAUUUCAAGAACCUUCAUUUCUCCAAAAUUAUCUUUGCUGAAAAACCUGUCCAGCUCAUUGGUGGCUGCAGCUAAAUAAUUAGAUUUUCCCUCGUCGUCAUUUGGUACAUAAUUAUCCAGUGUUGCGGCUUUAUAACACCUAGGUGAAGACAAUUAAAGUAGUCAAAAACCAAACUCCUGAUGGCAAAAGAACUUGUUUAUAACAACAGCAUACGUGUUACCUUGCAGUUUUCUCAGAACAAUGGACUCUGUUUUCACGUGAUACAAUAAAACCGCGUUUUCUUCUUCUCCUAAGCUCAUCAAUUGUAAACUGCACUGAAUAAGAUACUGAUGUAGAGCACACCGAAGUGUCAUUAUCAUGACCAUCAAGUAAAGUUAUAUUGGACGGUGUAUUUGGGGGUUCGGUAUCCUUCAAACAUUGAUCGGGAGCACCAAAAUUUGAAAGGCAUCGAUCAUUCUGUUCAUCCUGCAUUGCAGCAUUCAUUAUAUAAUCUAUCCCACUGAACACAUCUCAAAAACAACUGAUUUGCGCCAAAACACAGCUUAGCUAAUCAGAGAAACUAAGGAGUUGUCGAAAAUGCCAGAAGUAGAUUCAUGAUUAUUGAACUGCAUGCACCAAAUCAAUUCACCCAAAAGCUUAAACUGAUGGAGAAAAGUGGGCAAUAUAUUUCCCUAUCUCGACAUGGUAUCAACGUGGGUUGCAACUAUAUUUAUUAAUAGCAUUUUGGCCGGGUCUUGAACUCAAUAUCUCUUGGCUCUGAUUACCAAAUUGAAUUGCAUGCACCUAACCAUUUCACCCAAAAGCUUAAGCUGAUGGGGAGAGACGGGCAAUAUAUUUCAAAAAUGAUGCCUAUAACUCACUAACAGUUCAAAAGUUCACUGUGAACUUCAUAAUACAAUUUUAGAAGGCAGAGAUACUUAAGAAGAGUGCUACAAAGCAAACAGUUAAAGGCAAGUGGAAGAAGAGAAACAAAAAUAAAACAAUAUUGGCAGCAGUAGUCUAAUCUCCUCCAGAAAUCUGACUGACAGAACCGUCUCACUGCAAAAUUAAAUCAGCCUUACCACAUCAAAUUCUGUACUGUGGACAUCACAUGGAUUGAGGAGAUGCGCUUCAGUACUAGGAGACGCAACAUUAGGUGGUUCAGAAUGCUGUAAUGAAACUUCUGUCCUCUUAGGUACAGAAGGUUGUGGAGAAUGAUCCCACAGGCUAAUUUGCUGAAGUGAGUUGGCAUCUGAAAUACCAGGUGCAUUUGCUUCUAAACUUGUUCUUCUCACUUGCCCUGAGCAUGUACCUCUUCUCAGCACUGGAGCUUCAGUACUAGGAGACCCAACAUUAGGUGGUUCAGAAUGCUGUAAUGAAACUUCUGUCCUCUUAGGUACAAAAGGUUGUGGAGAAUGAUCCCACAGGCUAAUUUGCUGAAGUGAGUUGGCAUCUGAAAUACCAGGUGCAUUUGCUUCUAAACUUGUUCUUCUCACUUGCCCUGAGCAUGUACCCCUUCUCAGCACUGGAGCUUCAGUAAUAAGAUUGCAACUGUCUUCAUGCUUCCUCUUGUUUAGUGAUAGAAAGUUCAUAAGAGAAGACUGAACAAUAGUUGAAGGGGAGGAUUGAGCAGCAAGCCCUGUUCUAACAUGAUUUUCUCUUACUGGAUUACUUCUAAAAUCAGCACGGGGUCUUUUUGGCUGCUCAUACCGCAAUGCUGAAAACCAAGGAGAUCUAUCAACCUCAGUGUCUGGGCUCCUUGGCAAGGGGCUCAUGUCUCCAGAUGCAGCUCCAGUGGCUACCCUUGUCGCAGAAGAACUUACUUUCUGAUCCUUCAGUGGGUCCUGAUCAUCACUAUCUGUGUCUUCCUUGCAGUUAUCAUUUUCAGGCGAUGAAACAUUUUCCUUGUCCAUUAAAUAUGUGCUUUUAAUAGGUUCAUCAACCAUAGGGUCAUCUUCCUUUACAGGAUCUUCAGUGUGAUUGACCUUUUCAGGAUCUUCAAUGUGGUUGAUGGAAAAACUGCACUGUUGAGGGCUGUACAGAUUUUCAAUAGCCUCCCGUAAAGAAAACAAAAUAGUAUGCUCGGAUGAGAAGAAAAUUUUCCUCUUAUCAGGUGCGACAUUCACAUCAUAAGAUGUGGUUGGGAUGCAAAAAUUUAGGACAGCCACAGGGUAUUGCCUGGAAUUGGAACUCCUGUACAGUUCAUUAACAAGUUUGGUGACCUUUGGCAUGUCCACGGGUCUGCCAUUUACAUAGAAGAAUUGUCUAUCUCCUGAAUUGCGACCAGUGCCCGGUCCAGGCUUGGAAAGGAAACCUUCUACCUGACAGCCCUCAGAGAGGGCCAGGUUGAAGGGCUCCAGGCAUUUGAAAGUGUUCAAACCAAAGACCGUAAUGAUAUUGUCCUUCAGUGAACUGCUUCCUUGAGUUUUAACCACCACCAUUUUAGAAUUCUUGCCCACAGUAUUUGUGCAAAGUAAUCUGACCCCUUUGGCAAUUAAGGCGUAAGCCUAAAGCAGGAAAGACCAGACAAUUAGUAAUGGAAGAUUAUAACAACAAAAAAGAAGUACUCCCUCCGUUCUUUUUUAUAAGACGUUUCAAACAGCUGAGAUUGAAAUGUCUACAACGUCUUAUAAUAGUGAACAAAGGGAGUAAGUUUCAGCAUCUAUCAUAAUAAAACAUCCUACUGUGAGAAGCAAAACGUCAAGAUAAAUAUGAUUAAGCAGAACAGUUAGGCUUCAACAUGCAAAAAUUAAUAAAUUUGCAUGUAGCACUUGCAAAGAAAUACAGAAAACAGGAUGUGAAACUCACAUGUAGCAAGGAGAUGACUUUCCCGUACUCCUUCCUGAUAUUCCUACUAAACUCCUUGCCCCGAACCGGCAAGGUGGAGAAGAGUUUCUCGAUGGUUACGGUGGUCCCGACUUGCCGUGCAAUCUUCCUCUCACUGAUCACCACGCCCGAGUGCUCAAACUCCAAAUGUGUGCCGACCGACUCAUCUUUAGUCCUUGUCUCGACCGUCAGUUUCCCCAAUGCACAGAGGGAGCUCAACGCCUCCCCCCGGAACCCGAAGGUGACCACGGAGUUGAGAUCGGAGAAAUCCGAUAUCUUGGACGUGUGGUGCUUCAGAGCGAGUGCCUAAGACGGUGACGGGACGGCAGCAGCAUGGUACGGUCAGCAACCAAUGGCAGGCCGGAAAAGGACAGAGGAUGCAGAGAUUAGAAAUGAGGGGUUGCGUUUGUGCGUGCCUGGAAAUUGCCGGGCGAGAUGCCGCUGCCGUUAUCGGCGACCUUGAACCACUCCUCGCCGUAGGCCUUGAGGCCGACCUCGACGGUGGUGGCGCCGGCGUCGAGGCUGUUCUCCACGAGCUCCUUCACUGCGGAGGAGAGGUCGAAAAUGACUUGGCCGGAGCAAAUCCGGUGCACCACUGUUUUGCCGAUAGGCUUUAUCGCCGGCGAGGCUCCUCCCAUCCCCACUAAACCAGUAAACCCUACCGCAGCUCGACCUCGAGACGAGGGUUUCGUUCCUCCUCCUCCUCCUCCUCCUCCUCCUCUCUCUCUCUCUCUCCCUUGCGCGCUACGGGCAGAGACCGGCCGGGCCACACUGCCACAGUCGUCCGUCUGCCUCUCAGUUGGGCCUAGGUGUGGGCUUCACCGGGACUCUGGACUCCUUUUUUUUUCGAAACACCGAGUCUGGACUCCUAUGUACCCGCUCGCCGCGGCAGAAUGCCGAGCAAAUGCACAUAGCGAAUGCAGCUCGGCCGGCCCAUCUUGCGGUCGCGCCAGCGACUGUGGCGAUAGCGUUUGUCUCUGUUUUUUUUUUGCUUUUGCUACUUUUCAUUUGCUGUUUUCUCUUUAUUAAUUUGUAUUUCCUUUUUUGUUUGUUUUUUAUUCCAUUUUGUUCUUUUAAAUACAUGUUGAAUAUUCUCUCAAAAAUUGCAAGAACAUUUUUCUAAAACUAAUGUGAAUAUUUUUCAAACACAUGUUGAACUUUUUCCAAACACAUAUUGAAAUUUUUCCAAACACAUAAUAAACAUCUUUAGAAUACACGGUGAACAAUUCUUAAACAUGCGGAGAAAUUUUUUCAACCCAUGGUGAAGAUUUUUUUUAAUUCAUGAAUAUUUUUCCCAAAUUUGUGAACAUGGUGGACAAUCAAUUAAUCAGCAAGCAUUUCUGAGAGUUGUUAAUAUUUUAUGAACAUUUUGAAAAUGCAUGACAUUUAAAAAAAUCUUGAUGCACAUAUUUUUGAAAUAUGAAAGCUUGUAAAAAAAUGCCUGACCAUUUUUUAGCUUCACGGAUAUUUUACAAAAAAAUAUGCAUUUUUUAAAGAAACAUGAAAAAUAUAAGUGCUUUUCCAACCCAAACAUGCUAAAAACUUAAACAGGAAAAAAAGGUUUUUUCAAUGCCAAUGUACACACUGCUAUUAUGUAACACGGGACAAAUCAUAGUUUUGCUAAAACAGAGCAGACCAUGUGCUAGUUGAAUAAAAUCAAGGAGUCACUAACAAGCGGGAAAUAAAACAUCUAUUUUGUAUUUUAAGUAUAAAUAAUAGCUGGAAAUAAAAGUACAUGGAAAUAAGAUUUUAGAUUUUUUUUAUUGAAAGUGCAUCUAGUCCUUCCUAGUGGGUUUUGAUGACUAAUUACAAAUCAUUAAGGGAUUAGUGUGUUUAAUGAGUAUACAUGUGAUGUUUAUUGAACCUAGACUAGAGACGUCGAUCACUAAAAUUGUGGAGAGCAUGAAAUACAUGGUUUGUCUCCCAGAGAUUUAGUGGAGAUUUUAUAGCUUUCAGUGCCUCAGUGAGUCGCUUGAGUUUUAAGAGUGAGUAUAAUAAGGUGAUGUAAGCGGGAUAUAAGGGUUUGAAUAUCAUAUUAUUGUUGAGUUGAAAGAGAUAUAAAAUAAGCAGGUCAUAGAUUAAGUGUCAGUUAUAACGGGGAUUUCAAGGAACUUUAUGAGAAUGCAAGGUGUGCUAUGUGUUCACAAAGUAGUACUACGUCUCUCUAGGUUUAUUAGUCCUUAUCGUAUUUUGGGUCAAAGCUUGACCAUAUAUUUGAUUAGCAAAAAAUUAAUGCAUGCCACAGAUAAAUAAUAUUAUGGAAUUUGAAUUUGAAGGUAAUUUUCAAUGAUAUUAUUUUUUAUACAUAUAACUUAUAUUUUAUAUCAGUUAAAAUCAUGGUGGAAAUAUGAUUCAAAAUACGACGGGACCAGUAAAUCAGGACGGAGGAAGUACUUCUUGAACUUCUAUGCAUGUUGGAUAUUAGAUUGGCUAUAAAUGAUAUGGCAACAUUAUAUAGGCAACAACUGACUUACAACCAUGCUCUAAGGCAAAAAAAGGUGCAUACACGUCAAAUCUCAUAUCAAUAGUGUAAUUUACUAGCAUCCUUUUACUUUUCGGACAAGGAGAAAAUAAAAAGAUGGAUUGGUAGCAUUUAGCAAGGUAGUCAUCACAUCCAAACCAACCAAAUAAUUGAUCCCAAUGUGAAGUUUACAAACAAGGGGUAGAAAAAUGCGAUAGGGCCCAAAACAUGUAGGCUAGUAGCAUUUCGGUAACACGGCACAAUUGAUCAGUUCCAACACGCGUGAGGAUGGAACUUUGGUCUCUGUUCUCAGAAGCAGGCGUCCAAGAGACAACAGCAGCAAAGCGCGGCCAGGCUGUUGGAACAAUAUCAUAAGAGAAUCAUGAGAUAUAAUCAAGGCGAGUUUCUAAACAAAGAAAAAAAAAGAAGAAAAUUACUAAAUCGACAAUAAUUAAUACGAAUCAAAAGGAUUGCUAUAACCACAUAUCCAAAUGUUGACAGAUUUGUACAAAACGAAGAUUAUACAACUGAGAAGUGGGUUCGUUCCACCUUACAUUCUUGUUCUUUUAUUGUAAAGACUAGUACUCCCUCAGUUAAUACUGAUGUUCAUAUUAGGCAUGAUAUUAAUUAUUGAAGGGUGCUAAACAUGUUUAACACUGAACACCGGAGUGACUUAAACCAUUGGAU
rnacentral:lncRNA from 1 species